rnacentral:lncRNA from 1 species
CGGCCAAGGCGAAGAGGGGUCCGCGCCGCGCGGCGCGACGGUUGCACGAAGCGGGCCGCGCCGCGUCGCCUGACGCUCGAGGCCCGAGUGGCGUGAUUCCAACGGAGCUUGCUGAUUGGCCGCGGCGAGAUCGUAGUACGCUGCGUCGACCAAUCACCGCGGUGACAUUCGAAUCCACCGUGGCGCGCUUCUCCCCUCCGCUCCGUUACGAAAGUUUUGGCGAAUGAACGGUAGAAACAUUCCAUCGGCAUGGUUAAUUCAGUCCUCAGUCAAUCCUCGUGUCUCUUCUCGAACGGUUCCAAGUGCGCUUUCGCUUCGUUUUCGCUCCACUCGUCAAACCGUACCGCGAUGAAUUCUCGUGUUUCGUCUGUGUUUAGAAAUUACCUCAACUUCAACAUGAAAUCCAUACUCAGCUCCUUCGUCAAUCGGAUGAUUCUCUUCGUGUCAAUAUUUUGUACAACUUUCGUGAGCGUCAAAAGUGCGGUAACUUGGGCUCCGUCGGUGGAGAGUGCGGCGAAGAAAUGCUAACCAAAUGUCGGUAUCCUCUCAAAGUUUUGGCCGAAAAUAAAGAACUAGGCUUCGCCACGAAUAAAGAGGAUCUGGAUUUAAUUUGUCCAGAUCUUAAUGAUGGAUUGAUGUGUAUCGAUAACUACACUAGACGUUGCAUGGCCCCGAAUCAGAGAGCUCAUUUCUAUCAACUGUAUGCUGGAACCAGUAUGGUCAUUCAAGAAAUCUGCCAACCUGGGCCUUAUCAGAACGGUAAGUUUUUAAGCAAAAAGUUUCCCGCUUUCGAUGACUUCAUUCCGGAGUGACUCCGGCUCCGGAGUGAUAUGAGCACGGAGUAGAAUUGCUCUUUUUCUGGUGUUCAUCAUCGGUUGUGCUGUUCGGUUCAUGUCACCAUGCUUUUGAGAAUCUUAAGUUCUCUCAACUGAACUCUCUGUACACGGAGCAAGAAAGUUCAGUUUUUGUAAAACCCAAACUCUCGGUUCAGGUAACCGAAGUUUUCGGAGACAGAAACCGAACUUCGGCUCAGUUGACCGAAAUUUAGUUCCUGCGACCGGAAACUAUAGUUAUCGACUUAAAAGUCCUCAGUGAUCAAUAUGAAACAGAUCAGUCCUUUUAAGCAGAGGUCGAUAAUAUUCUCGAUCACGCAAGCCAAGCUUGCGCCAAAAUUGUGGGAAGUCCUCUCGUUUUUUAAAAUUUUUAUUUGUUUAUUUUUUUAAAUUUUUGGCGACGUUCGGCAUAGAAACGGUAGAACAAGUGUUGAGUAAGCCCUUCCUAAUGCCAUUUUGAAAAUUUCUUCCCACCUAUCGACCAAAGAACCUGACUAAAAAAAAAAAAAAAAAAAAAAAAAAAAAAAGGUCACCACUUUAUGAAAUUGUGGAAAACAGGGAAUUUUAUAGACCCCGGCCUGUAACCGAAGUUUACGGUUGGUACAGUGUAUGCAGUUCGAUUUAUGCAACCGAAUUUCUUUUAGACCUAGUCGUUUAAAAGUUCAGUUUUGAACUGAAUCACGAGAGCAUGAGCUGAGAGGUACUGUCACCUGAACCGAAGCAUAGAGUCGAUACAGAACACCGUUCUCCGAAUCAUGAGACCGAACUUUUUUCCUCAGUGUACCCGUUUGUUGCCGUUGCAGCGACACUUGACUAGAAACUUUGAGGAACCACCGAACAUUGGAACGGGCGAACAGGCCAAUCAUUUCGAAUAUCGCUAAUCGCCAUGACCCACAAACCGCGAGUGCCAUGUCAUUCUCCGCGCGAACAGCCACCGGUCGCGACGUCACCUCACAGUCGCAAGCGAAGCGAACUUUCGGAGUCUCCAGAUCUCAUAUCCUCCCGUCGCCAGUCAACAAUAUGUAAAAUUAAAAGGAGGCAGAUAACCAUCUCUCUAGAUGCAUUGUAAUCGGUGUAAUAUGGCGAUGGUGAGAUCAGGAGUGAAAGUCAAGCCUGAGCGAGGACAGGUGGGGGGAUCCAAGAUAUAGAGGAGUUCAGUGACAUUCUGAUAUCGAGAAAAACGAGUUUAAAAGCUCCGUUAAAAAGAAUAUUUGUAUUUUCCAUGAAAAUAAAGUUGGCAGAAAAUCCUGGCGGAAAACACUAAGUGUACAGGUUGAUAUGAAACUUUUUCAAGUGUGAAAGAUACGUGAUAAAACGUACAAAGUGAUAAUGAAACUUUUUGCAGUUAUUUUAUCACUUUAUUUUAGUAGAUUUGGACAAAAUAUCACAUGAAUUUCACACUAAAUUUUGGUCUAUUAU